rnacentral:rRNA from 1 species
UACGUAGGGUGCAAGCGUUGUCCGGAAUUAUUGGGCGUAAAGAGCUCGUAGGCGGUCUGUCGCGUCGGCUGUGAAAUCCCGAGGCUCAACCUCGGGUCUGCAGUCGAUACGGGCAAACUAGAGUAUUGCAGGGGAGACUGGAAUUCCUGGUGUAGCGGUGAAAUGCGCAGAUAUCAGGAGGAACACCCAGGGGGAAACCAGCCGACUGGGCAUCUGCUGACGCUGAGGUGCGAGAGCGUGGGGAGCGAACAGG